GGAAGAUAAACUAGAUCUGAUGAGAAGGCAAAUAUAUUACUACUUGAUAUUGAGAGAAGUCUUAUCAUUAUUUGACUUGGGCUUACUUUUUAGUGGUAGAAUAUUUAUCGACAAUAUCCAUAAUUAUUAUUAUUAGACUGUGAAUGUUAAGAAGGGUCAAUCCCGCUUAUAAAUGUAAUAGAUCAUUCUUAGUAAAUAAGAUUUACAAUCGUCAAUGUCAUAUUAUUUUGAUCUAGUGAUAAGAGCGCAAUGUUUAUUAUGUAACCACAUGGCAGAAUAUGAAGCAGUAGCAUGUGCAAAAAAAAUAUUUAAGUGAGAAAAGAUAAAGACGUUCGCUUACUAUUCACCGAAUUUCGAACCUCGCAGCAUUUACUUUCGAGAUUUCUUUAUGAAGAAAAUGAAAUAAAAGAACUUGAAUUUUGAUGAACAUUGCGAAACAAGAAUAGCGAAAUCAUCGAACUUGAUGUAAAGGCACGUUUG
rnacentral:lncRNA from 1 species